rnacentral:tRNA from 1 species
UAUGGCAGACUAAGUGCAGUGGAUUUAAAAUCCUAACAUAAAGACUCUAAUUCUUUUUAUUAA